rnacentral:rRNA from 1 species
AACGAACGCUGGCGGCAUGCCUAACACAUGCAAGUCGAACGAGACCUUCGGGUCUAGUGGCGCACGGGUGCGUAACGCGUGGGAACCUGCCCUUAGGUUCGGAAUAACUCCCCGAAAGGGGUGCUAAUACCGGAUAAUGUCUUCGGACCAAAGAUUUAUCGCCUGUGGAUGGGCCCGCGUUGGAUUAGCUAGUUGGUAGGGUAAAGGCCUACCAAGGCGAGGAUCCAUAGCUGGUCUGAGAGGAGGACAGGACACACUGGGAGUGAGAUACGGCCCAGACCCCUCUGGGAGGGAGCAGGGGGGAGGGUAGUAUAAUGGGGGGAGGCAUGAUGCAGCAAAGCAGCGCGGGGGAGGAAGGCAUGCGGUUGGGAUUGAAAUUUUUUUUGUGACGGGGAGAGAGUGACGGUAAGGGGAAAAGAAGCACCGGCUAACUCCGUG